GAGGGAGAGAGACAAGUACACUCCAGGCUGAGCACAGAGCCCACUGCAUCGCUCAAUCUCACGACCCUGUGAUCAUGACCUGAGCUGAAAUCAAGAGUUGGACCUUCAGUUGACUAAGCCACUCAGGCCGGCUCACAGUUGUAUCCAGCGAAGGCUGAGUCUUCUCCGUGCUGUGUCUGUCUCUGCUUGCGCUGAGAAGAGUGAAGAGAGGGCCUGUCUGCAUUUGUGCGGAACCCCCAUGCCUGCCAGAUCACAGGUGCACACUGAGGAAAUAAAUACUGGAGGUCCCAGAUCAGGCCUGGGCUUGACUCAAUAGUCUGUACUUCUGCCCCAGAACACCUCGCAGGUGAUUUUCCCCAUGGAUUACAAGCUCCUUGAGGGCAGAGAUCAUAUCUUUCUGAUUCACUUCUACAUCAUUAGUGAUUAACUCAGGAUCUGGCCCACAGUAGGCACUGAAUAAAUCUUCAUGCAAGGGAAUAUGUAAAUGGAUGGAGAGACAGAUGGACAGAUGGAUGGAGGGACACGUAAAUAAAUGAAUGAGCG
rnacentral:lncRNA from 1 species